CUUUGUCUGUGGCCAUACUGCUGUGUUUGCUUCAUGUGUGGACACUUUUUCUUUGGUGUUGUUUCUUGUGACUGAAGACUUAGAAAGCAAAAUUAAAAUGAUAUAUUGACAUCAACCCUGAACAAAUGUUCAAGGCCAAUCAAGGAAAAGCUACAUCCAAGAAGACUA